rnacentral:rRNA from 1 species
UACGAAGGGGGCUAGCGUUGUUCGGAAUCACUGGGCGUAAAGCGCACGCAGGCGGAUUGAUAUGUCAGGGGUGAAAUCCCGGAGCUCAACUUCGGAAUUGCCUUUGAUACUGUCUGUCUUGAGUCCGGGAGAGGUGAGUGGAAUUCCUAGUGUAGAGGUGAAAUUCGUAGAUAUUAGGAAGAACACCAGUGGCGAAGGCGGCUCACUGGCCCGGUACUGACGCUCAUGUGCGAAAGCGUGGGGAGCAAACAGG